GUCUACCGCCAUACCACCCUGAACGCGCCCGAUCUCUUCUGAUCUCGGAAGCUAAGCAGGGUCGGGCCUGGUUAGUACUUGGAUGGGAGAAAAGGGGAAUGGGGAGGUAAUAA
rnacentral:rRNA from 1 species